rnacentral:lncRNA from 1 species
UUUUAGAGAUAUUAUGCUUGGUUUUCAUUGUUUUGACAGGGUUAGACGAGAAUUGAAUGGAGAAUGAAGUAGGAAGGAGUUGGACCCAAGAAAAGAUGAAAAAAGGUGCAAAGGAAGAAUCGCGCCAGUUUCAGCGCUGAGCCCCAACUUUGUGAAAAGAGCCACUGCCAGACACUUAAGCGCCAAUGCUAAGGGAAAAAGUUAGAGUCGAGCACAAAGCUGAGUGUCAGAUCCAGUGCUGAGUGCUGGCUCAGAGACAACACUACCAAACGCUUGGGCGUGAACGCUGAGCAUCCCACUUGAGUGCCGCACCUACCGUUAAGCGGUGAAACCAGCACUGAGCGCUAUAGUUGGGCUUGGGCCUGUUUUCUGUAAUUUUUUAUAGAUUAUAAAUAGAUUUGUGCGACCUUUAUGGUUAUAUUUUGGCAGAGAAAAGAUGCAAAAAAACCCAUUCUCACUCCUUGGAGGCGGAUUUUGGAUGCAAUAGCUCUAAUAAUUCAAUUCUAGGGUUAUCUCUU